UGGAGACAGACUGUAUUUAAAUGGUGGUCUCUCAGAAGGUGAAAUACCUUAACAUUUACAUAAGCUAUUCCUCAGUAAUAAAAGGUGAUGCAGGUACCUGCACAGGUUGGUGUGACUAAACUAGAAUUGCCCAAG